rnacentral:rRNA from 1 species
UCCAGAGGGUGCAAUCGUUAUUCGGAUUUAUUGGGCGUAAAGAGCGCGUAGGUGGUUCGAUAAGUCUGGUGUGAAAGCCCUGGACUCAAUCCAGGAAGUGCAUUGGAUACUGUCGGACUAGAGUAUGGGAGAGGAGAGCGGAAUUCCAGGUGUAGAGGUGAAAUUCGUAGAUAUCUGGAGGAACAACAGUAGCGAAGGCGGCUCUCUGGACCAUUACUGACACUGAGGCGCGAAAGCGUGGGGAGCAAACAGG